GACCCCCAAAGGGGCGGGUUUUCUUCGGCCUGGAUCCUGGCUUGGGGGGUAAAAAUAAAGUGUGUCCAUCUCCAGCCAAUCCCAGGGAAGACAGGAGGGCACUCCUCCAAUGGGAGUCUGGAGCCGUCGGUAGCGGUGGCGGCCUGCGACCCCGCUAGCGCUCCAGCAAGCGGGAGGGACGCGUCCAGUGCGUUCGCGAGAUCCAGCUGCCGGUCCCUGGAAUCUACUCGCGCGAGGCAGCGGCUGCACCGACGGCCCGAGGUUCCCGGUCAGCGGGUUGCGGAGUAUCGUGCGGGUAGCAAGGGGAGGGCGAGUGCUCCUGCGGCCCCCAGACGGCAACCAGGGCUUCCCUGGUGGCGCAGUGGUUGAGAGUCUGCCUGCCGAUGCAGGGGACGCGGGUUCGUGCCCCGGUCCUGGAAGAUCCUACAUGCCGCGGAGCAGCUAGGCCCAUGAGCCAUGGCCGCUGAGCCUGCGCGUCCGGAGCCUGUGCUCCGCAACGGGAGAGGCCACAACAGUGAGAGGCCCGUGUACCACAAAAAAAAAAAAAAAAAAAAAAUUGGACAUUUUAGAUAUUCUCCUCUAACAACUCUAGUAUCAGACUCUUCCACCCUCAAGAACAUGCAUCAUUGUUAGAACCAUCACCCUGCAGCUAGCUUGGACACCAUUAAAAGGGCUCAUCAUCUGCAAAUGGAUAGAAGUAUCUGAUAUUUGCGAAGACAGAGUUUCAGGGCUUCUACCUGGAGCUACACUCUCCAAAAGCCCCUGCUUGGCCUCCCUGCACCCAACCCUACCCCAUCCAGUCACAACUUGGGUCGUGUGGUGUUUCUUGGCAACUGGAACACAGACUCCUCCAGCAGCUCCGCAGGCCCCUUGUCCUCAGUGAGCAGAAGACUACAGAAGCUGGCUACUGAAGAGGCUGUCCAAGUCUUAGAGCUCCUCUUCGGCCCUGCUUAGCACAUUUACUACAGAGCAGUAACUGAGUGCUGGAUGUUACUCAUUCGUGUUCACCACCUGCAGGGACUGCAGAGGGAUUUGUCAGACCCCAUUUCACUAAGGGCCACCCUCUAAGGAUCUCCACAGGAGGCUGCCCAUAGAGAGAAGUGGCCUGCCUAGGGUCUCCACUGCCUUAAGGCCUACGUGGACACUUCCAGGCCUAAGGGGAUUAAUAUUUCUUCACCUACCUGUCAUCCACAUAUCAAUUGGAAAAUUCUCCCUCCUGAUGUUUUUUGUUCCUUUGUUUGUUUUUUAGUAGGAAGAGUUUUAACUACUGCUUCAAUUCCUUUAGUAGUUAGAGGACUAGUCAGCAUUUCUUUUUCUUCUUGAAUCAGUUUUGGUAAGUUAUAGUUUUCUAGGAAUUGGUGCAUUUUGUCCGCCUUCUCAAGUUUAUUGGCAUAGUUUCCUUAUUUUUUUAUUCUCUGCUGUAUACAAUCUGUAGUUAUGUCUCCUUUUUCAUUGCUGAUAUUGGUUAUUUGUGCCUUCUCACUUUUUUUCUUGAUCAAUCUCACCAGAGGUUUGUCUAUUUUACUAGUCUUUUCAAAGAACCAACUUUUGGCUUUGUUGCUCCUCUCUAUUUUGUCUUUGUUUUCUAUUUCUUUAAUUUCUGCUCUUAUCUUUUUUGAUCUCCUUCCUUCCACAUUUUUUGGAUUUAUUUUGUUGUUAUUUUUCUAAUUUCUUAAAUUGGACACCAGCCUUAUUAAUUUUCAGUCUUUCUUGUUUUCUACUUUGCACAUUUAAGGACGUAACUUUCCCUCUAACUACUGCUUUUCUACAAGUUCAGCCAUGUCAUAUUUCAUUACUGUUCAGUUCCAAGUAUUUCAGCAUUUCCAUCAUGGUUACUUCUUUGACCUGCAAGUUAUAUAGAAGUGUGUUUCUAAAUGUUUAGAGAUUUUAAAGUUUAUCUUUAUGUUAUUGAACUCUAUCUUUAAUUGCAUUAUGGUCAGAGUAUGUGAUCUGUGUGAUAAAAAUUCUGAAAUUUAUUGAGACUUGUUUUAUGGCUUAAUAGGUGAUCAAUAUUUUUUAAUGUUUCCUAUGUGAUUUAUAAGAAUGUAUGUUCUCUAACUGUUGAAUACAGAGUUCCACAUAAGUCUGUUAUCAAAUUUGUUAAUCGUAUUGUUCACAUUUUCUAUAUCUAAACUGAUUUUUUGGUUGUAAUAUACCAAUAAUUAUAAGGUACGUUAAUAUGCAGUUAUGAUGGUGGAUUUGUCUAUUUCUCCUUGUAGUUCUUUUUUUUUCUUUUACUUAUUUUGAGGGUAUUUUAUUAGGAAUAUUCAAAAUGAGAAUUGUUAUAUAUUCCUGGUAAACAUGUAAUGACCCUCUCUAUUUCUGAUAAUGCAUUUUUUCCUUGAAGUCUAUUUUAUCUUACAUGAAUAUAGCAACACAAACUUUUCUUCUUCUUAGGAUUUGUGUGGUAUAUAAUUUUCCAUCCUUUUACUUUUCAACGUUUUCAUGCCUUUAUGCUUUAAUCAUAUCUCUUGGAAAUGGCAUAUAGUUGGACCUUUUAAAACAUCUAAUAUAAUAGUCUCUGUCUUUUAAUGGUCAAGUUUAGUCUGUUUACACUUAUUGUGAUAUAUUUGGACUUGUUUCUACCAUCAUACUUUUUUUUUUUUUUUUUUUUUUUGCGAUACACGGGCCUCUCACUGUUGUGGCCUCUCCCAUUAAGGAGCACAGGCUCCGGACGCGCAGGCUCAGCAGCCAUGGCUUACGGGCCCAGCCGCUCUGCGGCAUGUGGGAUCUUCCUGGACCGGGGCACGAACCCAUGUCCCUUGCAUCGGCAAGCAGACUCUCAACCACUGCACCACCAGGGAAGCCCCCAUCAUACUUUUUUAUUUCUAUUUCCUACCACCACCUUUUCGAUGCUUCAUUUUUCUCUUUUUUUUUUUGCCUGCUUUUUAGUUUUGAAAUUUGUUUGUUUGCUUUCUUAAUCAUUUUUUUUCCUCCCUACUGUUUGGAAUUUACCUAUUCUUUUUCCUUUCUUUCUGUGGUUAUCCUUGAAAUUUUACCAUGCAUGUUUAACUUACAAGGUUUAAAGUUAAACAGUAUUUUAACCUCCCUCUUAAAGAGUGCAGGAACCUUAGAACCUUCAACUCUAGUCAUUCCUAUCUUGACCACAUGUUAUUUUUUUGAGUGUGUUAGUUUGUUCCUUCUUCCCCUGACCUCACUAAUAUAUCAUCAUUAGUAUUAAUUUAUAUAGAUGGUAUGUGUUUGGAUUUACAUGCAUACAUUCUUGCAUCUCAGAACAUUGUUCUGGGAUCAUUUUCCUUCAUUAUGAUUACGAUGUUUAGAUACUCUUUUAGUACAUAUCUGUUGGUGUUAAAUUCUCCUAGUCUCUGUUAUAUGUAAAUGUAUUUAUUCUCAUUCUUAAAAGGUAGAUUGUUAUAGGUAAUAUUAGAAGUCCACUAUCAGUCUAAUUUCUGUUUUUUGUAGGUGUUUUUGUUUUCUUAUAUUCUGACUACUUUUCUCUCUCUCUUUUUCUUGGAGGGGAGGGGUAUAUUCAGGGGGUUCUGCAGUUUCAUUCUAUCAAUGUUUAGGUAUGUAUUUCUUUUUUAUUAUUCUACUUUGGAAAUGUGCUUUAUGCCUCUGGAUUCAUGUUUUUCAUAAUUUCUGGAAAAUUCUCAGCCAUUAUCUCUUCAAAUAUUGCCUUUCUUCCAUUCUUUCUAUAUUUUCUUUCUCAGAAUUCAGUUGGUCAUAUUUUGGACCGCCUCAUUCUAUCUUCCAUAUCUCGUAACAUUUCAUUGAUAUUUUCUAUCUUCUUGUCUUCCUGCACUUCAUUCUAGGCAAUUUCUUCAGAUAUAUCUUUCAGCUUAUUGAUUCUCUCUUCAUCUCUGUCUGAUCUGCUGUUUAAUCCGUCCACCGAGUUUUUUAUUUCAAGAAUUGUAUUUUUCAUUUGUACAAACUUCAUAUAUUUCACUUUCUAAUCUUCCUAGUCAUCCCUAAUAGUCUCUUGUUGCUUGCUCAUCUUUGUGGUUGCAUUUAUUAUUUCUUUAAACAUGUUAUACAAUUUUUGUUCAGCCAGUAAUCACUGUUUGUCUAAGUAUGGCAUUGUAAAUAUUGUUCACAUCCAAACAACAUAGUACAGUCUGAUUACAUAUCCUCUGUUGUAUACCUUUUUGUUUUCCUAGUAGUUGUCUGUUUUUUUUUCCUGUGCCUGGUGUUCUAAUACCAUUACUAGUUCUUCUCUGAAAUUCUUUUUUUAAAAAACUUUUUAAUUUUUUGGCUGCGCCACAUGGCAUGUGGGAUCUUAGUUCCCCAACCAGGGAUCGAACAUGUGCCUCCUGCAUUGGAAGUGUGGAGUCUUAACCACAGGGAACUCGCUGAAAUUCUUUUUAAAAUCCAUAUCAGAUCAUGUCCCUCCUUUGCUCAAAAUUCUCCCAUGGCUCCUGGCUCCCUCAGAAUAAAAGCCAAAGCCCUCACUGUGGCCCAAAGUUCUUUACACAGUCUUGUCCCCAUCAUCUCUCUGACCUUGCCUCCUAUCACUUUCCCCAUCACUCACUGUUCUCCAGCCACACUGGCCUCCUUGCUGUUCCUUAAACAUGUCAUGUAUCCCCCCUCUUCAGAGCCUUUGUACUUGCUAGUCUCACUGUCUAGAACAUUCUUCUUCCCAGAUAAUCUGAUGACUUGCCCACCCACUUCCAGUAGGCUCAAAUGUCACCUUCCUAGAGAAGCAUUCCCUGACAAACAUAUCUAAAAUAGCCCCAUUCACCAGCACUUUCUAUCCCCUUAUCCUACUUUAUGUGUUGUGUUUUCCUACAAAGCACUGAUCACCACCUGAUAUACUUUAUUUAUUUAUUGUGAUUAAUGUUUGUCUCUCCACAAUAGACUGUAAGCUCCACAAAGCAAGGACUCUUGUUUUGUUCAUUGUUGUAUCUCUAGUGCCAAGAACAGUGCAUAGUAAUAUUUAGUAGACAAUAAAUAUUUGUGGAAUAAACUGAAUGAAUUGAUGAAUGAAUUAAUGUGGAGGAUAGAGGGAGAAAUGCAUUGAGAACUAGGCUAGGCAUGAACGCCUUUCAUGGCAUGCAAAGGAGCUUGGGUGUCAUUGUUCAGAAGGGUGAGGGCUGUAAAGAAGCAGUGAGGGUAGCUCCUGGGUUCUUUUGAGAAGCAAGUUCAGAGUUGGUAGGGUGGUAACAAAGCCCCAUGUAUGACUCGCUCUGUAUCCUGGGCUCCUAAAGGUGGACCUGCCUCUUUUUCAAACAGCCCUCAAACUGCUGUGUUGUCAUGCCUGCCUGUUACUUAGUGAAAACCAAAGCCCCAGCUCUCAUUAGGCCUUCUGGUCCCAGCUAGGAUCCUCUUUUCUCCUGCCUGUGAGAAACUGUUUCUUGGUCCCCAGGCCAAGCAGAUCACCCCCAUUAGACUUUUUCUGUGGUACUUGGGUUGUGGGGGAAUUGUACAGGAGCUGGUAUAAAGCCUGGUACAUAGUAAGUGCUGUCAUAAUGGUGGACACUUCACGGAAGUAAGUUUCAGCUCAGAAAAACUUUUUUCCAUUGUAAAGGCUACAACAGAUUGUGAGGUUUUAGUCCUGACUUUCUCCCUAACCCCUUUGGGAGCCAGCAUGGCUCCAGUGUUUCUGUUUGUCCAUGACUGUUUGGAUACUAAUUCUGUUUAAUGUGUGGCCUACUCCCCUGGUUUUUGUGUAACCCACUAAUUUCAUCAGAAUGCCAUCAAUACACACAGGUCCCUGUGGCACACCCCUAGAGACCCCCCCCUCCCGGGCCAACAUCAGUUCAUUAAUCAUUAUCACACUGGGUUUAAGCAGCCAGCUAGUUAUAAGUUCACUUGAGCAAAGUUGACUGAACACCUACUAUGUAUCAGGCCUCCGGUUCCGCACCGAGGACACAGAGAUGAACAAAGUGUGUUCUCAGACACAGAACCAUCAUUUCAGGGCAGUGUGGUCAAUGCAGUAAUAGUGAUGGGUACGAGAGACUGUGAGAGCCCCUAUGGAACACAUGACCCAGCUCAGGGGACCGAGGAAGGUUUCUUGGAAGAGAUGGUAUAUGAACUGACUCUAAAAAGAUGAGUAGGAAUCUUCUAGGUGACUAACAAGGGAGAGGAGGGCAGUCCAGGCAAAGGGUACAGCAUGGGCAAAGGCCCAAAGAUGGGAAGCAGCAUGGUGUACACCAACCUAACUGCAUUCACUGUUCACCUUUCUUUCUACGAGAUCAUUCUAGGAGACUCUGGCACAUACCAAAAUUCUGACAUGAGGAGUUUGUGACCUCCCUUGACAUGCUAAUCUGUUAACUCUUCAGAAAGGUAAUGAAAAGUUGGUUGGACACAACUGUCCACAAACUUGUUCAUACCAGCUUCCAGUGUUCCUGGCUUCCUUAUCUAGAUGAUGGUGUCUAUGUUACCUGCUUCCUUUGUACCUCCCCUGGGGUUGGGGUCAUUCCCACUGUCCUGGAGGUUAUGGAGUCUCCCUCAGCUCCUUGUGUGGAGAUCUCAUUGUGGAGAGGAGUUUUUCUGACUCCUGAUACCAGCUGUGGCAUAAAGACUAUUCAUCUUUCAGGAAAUGGGCAGGGCCUGUCUGUCUUGUCCUCAGACAUUAGGGUUCACCUCCUCUGGGAUUCAUUCAUACCUGUAAUAAUCUAGGACAAGUUGGUUGUGGAGUCUGGUAAGCCCAGUUUCAAGGUAUGGAGCCCUCAUGUCUUGGUUGUGUGACCUUAGCCAUGUCACCUGUCCUCUCUAAGUGUCAGUUUCCUCAUCAGUAAAAUGAGUUGAAUACCUACCUUGGAUAGUUGUUGUGGGUGUUAGAGCAUAUGUGAGUUACCUGGCACCUGGCUACCAUUUAUUGAACACCUACUACUAUCAAUAUUAAAGGGACAGUGGCCUGCCUAGUGGUUAAGAACAUGAGCUGAAGAUCCAGACCAACCUGAUUUUGGAUUAUAGCUCAACUACUUACUAGCAUUGGGACCUUGGUCAAGUUUCCUAACCUUUUUUAGCCUUAGAACAUUUGUAAAAUGAAGUUACUGUACCUACCUCAGAGUUAUCAUGUGUGUUCUUGUAGCAGGGUAUAUAUGCGAGGUGGGAGCCUUCACAGGCCCCAGACUCCUCCCCCACCUGCCCCCUCAAGAGACUGCCCCCCCAUCCCCAGGGGACCUACCUUUAGCUUCCCCCUCUCUCUAAGGCUAACAAAGAGGACUGAGCUGGCCCCUCAGUGUCAUAGGGCUACCUCGUUAUGGAAGCUUUCUAAUGUUAAUUGGCUCUUGCAUUUCUGGAGUAAACCCAACAUUUUCAUCUUACGCUAAAUCUUUUUUUAUUCAUUUGGUUUACUAAUAAAUUGUUUAGGAUUUUUGCACCUUUUGUCAUCUACCAUGUUUGUCUGGUCAAGGUUAUUAGUGGGCUCAUCCAGUAAAUAAAUUAGUCGGUCCAGUUCAUCUAAGUUUUCAAAUUAAUCGUAUCUUCUUCUUUUGUCAUUUCUGCUGUAUCUUUUAUAUUGUUCAUAUUAUUUAUUUGUGCCUUUUCUCUUUUUUUCUUGAUUAGUCCCUCCAGAGAUCUUUUUAGCGGUUAGUCUAGAAAAUUUACCAUACAUAUUCAACCUAAAGUCUAAAGUUAAACAUUAUCGUAAUCCCCCGCCCAAACAAUACAAGGAUUUUAUAAUUUUCUUUUCUAAGGAGGAUAUUAACAUAUACACUAGAUGGACAUUAACAAUAUUAUUAUUUUGUGCAGUGUUUAAAUGCUUGUUUACUAUUUUAUUUGUUCACCUUCCUUCUUAAACCUCAGACCUCCUUUUUGGGGAUAAUUUUCUUUCUUGAAAUAUAUACUUUAGAAGAUCCUUUAGGGCAGAUCUCUUUACAGGAAACUGUCUGAAUCUAUUUAUCUGUAAAUGCCUUUAUUUCACUUUAUUCUUCUUUGAAAGAUAGGUUUGCUAUGUACUCAGUUCUGAAUUACCUUUUUUUUUUCUCUUAACACUUAUAAAAUAUUAUGGCGCUGUCUUCUGGUUUCCACUAUUACUGUUGAAAA